GACAGUGUAGUGUAGUGGUCUGAGUGUUGGACUACGACUCUGGAGACCAGGGUUCAAAUCCCAGCUCAGCCA